AUGUGGUUAAGGGACCUGUCACUAGAACAAGGGACUAGAGAGCAUCCACACUGCUGAAAAGGAAAGCCUCUUUCUAACCGUUUGUGAAACUCGUCCAAGCAAGGGACUCGUGCAGCGCCUCCUCUCCACUCAGUGCCCCAGAGGCUCAGCCCCCGCGACCUUCCCACCCGCGGAUCCCUGUAGCUUUCCCCACCAGCCAUGCUCCUGCUGCUCGUGCCGGUGCUCGCGAUGGUUUUCACCCUGAGAGGAAGCGGAGCCCAGUCAGUGACCCAGCCUGACCGCCACGUCCUGGUCUCUGAAGGAGCCCCUCUGCAGCUGAGGUGCAGCUACUCAUCUUCUGUUCCUCCCUAUCUCUUCUGGUACCAGCAACGCCCCAGCCAAGGCCUCCAGCUCCUCCUGAAGUACGUGUCAGGGGCCACCCUGGUGACAGGCAUCAAUGGUUUCCAGGCUGAACUUAGGAAGAAUGAAACCUCCUUCCACCUGAGGAAGCCCUCAGCCCACUGGAGCGACUCAGCUGAGUACUUCUGUGCUUUGAGUGACACAGUGCCUGGGGCUGCAGGGGGAGCUAACCACAAACCUGACACAGGGCACUUUCUGUGACACACAGGUUCAAGCUGGGGAGUUUUCAAGAGGUUUUCCUUUUCUGUGCAGCCCAAGAGGACAGAGUGGCCUGAGUCCUGGGGAAUAUUUGUCUCCUGAAUAUUUGCCUCCAUGUCUGUGUACUGCCGCCUUCAGACUGGCUGUGGCCCAGAUAAAGGUUUUGUGUUGAAUUUCUCCGGGAGGGAAACCUGUGUUCCCCCACAACUUCAUGCUCCAAUUCCCACCUGACACCUGCACUCUGAAGAACAUAGCAAUAAGGGCUCUGAAGUUAAAAAGGCAGCAGCACUUUAAUUUUUAAAAGUCACUUCUAGCAUCCACUGUGAUGAUUAGUGUUGCCUCAAAGGAAUUUUAUUUAGUGUAUGGCUACAGACAUCCUCUAGUUUCUUUUUGGUGUGCUAUUUCUUCCCGUUUUACUUCUGUACCCCUUUUCAUUUCUGUUUGGAGUUUUCCUGACAUGACAUUUAUCCUUUCAUUGUCCUUUAUUUCAAUCAGGUUUACACUUUUCAGGGACAAGAAUAUUUUAAAGUUAUGGUGAAAACACUUACGUUCUACUGUUUUUUAAAACUGCAAGUCUGCAAUUCAGUAACUAGGAGCAAAAUAUAGUACAACAGACCUCUAGAACUUUUUUAUAUUGUCUAACUGACACUUGGUUCUCCUGGACCAGCAUCUCCUGAUAUCAUCAUCUUUUUAGUCCCUGGCAACCACCAUUCUACUCUGCUAUGAGUUUGACUAGUUUUGAUACUUCAUCUAAGUGGAAUCAUGCUGUAUUUGUCCUUCUAAGACUGGUUUAUUUCAAUUAGCAUGAUGUUCACAAGGUUCAUCUGUAUUGUUACACAUGGCAAAGUCACCAUAUUUUUAAAGGAUAAUAAUAUUUAAUCUAUGUAUAUGCCACAUUUUGUAUCCAUUUACCUACUGUCUGACAUUAGGUUGUUUCCACAUCUUGAUUGUUGUGAAUAGUACUGCAACACACAAGGGAGUGCAAAUAUCUCAUUGAGAUCCCAAUUUCAAUUAUUUUGGAUAAAUACCUAGAAGUGGGAUUGUUGUAUUGUACAAUAGUUCUAUCUGUAAAUUUUUGAGGAAGGUCCAUACUGCUUACCCUAAUGGAUGCAACAUUUUGCAAUCCCUCAACCAUGUUCAAGGGUUCAAAUUUCUCCACUUCCUCACCAAUACUUGACUGUCUUUUAUUUUCAGACAGUAGCCAUCUUCAUAGAUGUGAGGUAAAAUCGAAUUGCAAUAUCUCAUUCCUCUGAUGACUGGUGAGUUGAGCGCAAAGGACCCUGAAGAGACCUAAGACCAUUUUGAGAAGUUAGAACAAACCUGAAGGUAUAACACCUCCUGGGUUCUGAAUAUAUUACAAAUCUUCAGUAAUUAAAACAGUGUGAUUCUGUCAUUAAGACAUAUAUACAAACUAAUAGAACACAAUAGAGAACCCAGAUAUAAGGCCAUGAAUGUACAUUCAACUGAUCUUUGUCAAGGAUACCAAGCUCACACAAUGAGUAAUGAAAUAAAGAUAAAUGUUCAAUUAAAAUAUUUCUACAAAGGAUUAUGUUAAUAACUUAUGGUUAAACAUUUUAGCAACUCAUAACUACCAUGCAAAUCAGUAGGACUGAUUAGAAGGAAACUGUUUUUAAGCCAGAGAAGAUGAAAUGUUACUUAGCACUAAUUCAUAGUUGAGGAAGCGAAUGUGAUAGUGUUUGAGUGGUGUUGUUCCUUCCCUGGUCACCAUCAGUGGUCCUGUUGCUGAGAUGCCCUCUGUGCAGCUAGGAAGCAGCUGGCUGAAAGCCCCAGGAGAUCCUGUACACGGGGUAUAGAAGAACUUAAUUUUCUAUUAAUUACUAUAAACAUAUUCACAUCUGAUUGACCUGUGCUGAGAGCUGUGUAUAAAAUUCAAAAACUGUAUUUAGAAUAAAAAUUAUACCUUUUAAA